AGGGAAUAUAUUUUAUUAGAAUCAUUUACACAGUUACAAAAAUAAAACAGACCAGCUUUCAUCAUGCAAGCUUUCUCUCAGGUCUCUCAAGCUUUCUUUUCCCAGGGGAGAGCCAUGACCCAUGGCAACCACAAAGAAUGUGAGAAAAUAAUGGGAUACUGAAAUUCAGUGGAUUAUUCAUGCACAUUUGAAAUAUUAAGUAGCAGGAUGGCUGUUGACUAGCACAGGUUUUGGCCAGGAGAAGAGGGCAGCCAGCUGCCUGCCAGGGGUUCUCCAAAGGCUGGUGGGAAUGAACCACACUGUGAUGAGCAGAGCAGACCCUCCUGUGACUGACCAAGCUGCAACUGGGAGCCCAUGUGUCUGGGACACCAACAGCAGAGGAUCAAGCACUGCCCAGGUUCCCAGGCUCCCAGAAUUUUCCCAACAUAUCAAUGGCAGCACACAACUUUGCUCACAUCCCUGAUGAAAGUCCUGUUAAUGAGCAAAGCUGCCUGGCUUGGUGAGCCUGCAAAGGCCUCACUUGUGUUAAGGCUGAGCUAGGAGCUUGUAAGCAGUUACUGCUGCAAAGUGCACAGCUAUGGGGCCCUUUGGGGGUUUUAGAAUUCUGAAAAAAAAUACUUUGCAAGACAUAAUGUUAUUUUUUCCAGCUGUUCACAGAACUUGCCACAUCUCUACAGAGCAACUUCUUUGAAAGAGUAUGAAAGCCCUUAUAGUCAGCCUCUAGCACACCAAGGGAAAUGCUCUCUUCCUGCUGAGAUAAAGGUCUAGUGGCACAUGAAGAAAGGCCUAUGCUCCCCUGGAGAAAUGACAAAACCCAGUGCAUUAGUAUUGCUCUGGCUGAGCAGAGGCCAUUGCAACUGCCCUGCUUCAUUCUGUAUUCUCUUUUUUUGUCAUCUAUACAAAGGGAAAGAUGAUGAAAGCAUAGACCAGACCUGCUCCCACAAUCAAGUCAAACAUGAGUAUGGAAGAAGAGCUUGUGCCUGAUUUUGAAUGCCUGCUGAGAAAGAGAUCUGCACAUGGAAGUUGGAAAACACUUGGUCUGAUCUCAAAGAUGGACAUGAGAUACUUCUCCUGGAACGACAAGGAAGUUUUCUUACCACAGCCAACACAAUUGAGCUGAGAGGUUUGGCAGCCCACACUAAUCCCAUCACUUCUUUGGGGAAGUGCUCUUUGAGCAGAGCAUGGCAACCUGCUGAGCAACAUCCAUGGCAGAAACAGCUCACAG
rnacentral:lncRNA from 1 species